CGCGGGGUAGAGCAGAUUGGUAGCUCGCAAGGCUCAUAACCUUGAGAUCAUGGGUUCAAAUCCCAUCCCCGCAC
rnacentral:tRNA from 2 species